rnacentral:lncRNA from 1 species
UUUUUUUUCUUCCCAGACAUGGCGGCGUCCUGCAUUUCGUGUGUGCGUCGUAGUGUCGAGUUUUGUUCAUGCGGUCGACCUUUACUGCGUUACCUCGCAUUGUGUGUUGUGUGUUGCCGUUACUGACGUAAGUGCAAGUUCUUCACUGAGUAUGAUCCGCGGCACCGUGCAAAUAGUCACCAGAUGCCGGCCGUGCGACUCCGUUCUAUGCGACUCCUUUGUUCGGUGCGAUCGAGGGACGUGAUUCAAAGCUUUGGAGACCCUCUUUACACCGUGCCCUCUUCAAACGUUUCCACACAUCAGUGAGUAGCAGCACCGCAAUAUUUACUCGACGGCACGCUCUGUGGGCCUAGAAAAUGCCUUGACGUUCGAGCACUUCGGGAGCUAUACCGGCGGACAGCCGGAUGCGGGUAGCUUGGCCGUUCCUUGCUCUGCGCAUCGCUUGAAAACCGGCGGUCAUCCUGCAGUGUACGCUACCAGCGUGCUUUCUUGCCAGAGCCGCCUCCCCUGCUGGUGAUGACCAUAUGCAGCCAAUGCUGAUGUGAACCCGAGUGAUGAACAAAUGCUGAUCUGCAAAGGAGCUGUCCUGAGGCGCCAUGCUUACUCAAGUCAUGCAGCGAGAGUCAGCAUGCCUGGAAAAGUACUUCAAAGCAGACCCCAUCUGGCUGACGCACUACCUCAAGAAAACUGCCUUUCUCCCAUCCGCAAGUUCCUAAGAAGUUACUUUAUGAAGCAAGCCAGCAGGGCGUACGUGUAAGGCAUGGCAGCACGGAGAACAAAUAAACAUGAGU